rnacentral:rRNA from 1 species
ACGAACGCUGGCGGCGUGCCUAAUACAUGCAAGUCGAACGAACCGCGACUAGGUGCUUGCACUUGGUCAAGGUGAGUGGCGAACGGGUGAGUAACACGUGGGUAACCUACCUCAUAGUGGGGGAUAACAGUCGGAAACGACUGCUAAUACCGCAUAGGACAUAGGAUCACAUGAUCCAGUGAGGAAAGGUGGCGCAAGCUAUCGCUAAGAGAUGGACCCGCGGUGCAUUAGCUAGUUGGUAGGGUAAAGGCCUACCAAGGCGAUGAUGCAUAGCCGACCUGAGAGGGUGAUCGGCCACAUUGGGACUGAGACACGGCCCAAACUCCUACGGGAGGCAGCAGUAGGGAAUCUUCCGCAAUGGACGCAAGUCUGACGGAGCAACGCCGCGUGAGUGAAGAAGGUCUUCGGAUCGUAAAGCUCUGUUGUUAGAGAAGAACAGCGCAUAGAGUAACUGUUAUGCGUGUGACGGUAUCUAACCAGAAAGCCACGGCUAACUACGUG